GGUAGUCCACGCCGUAAACGAUGGGCACUAGGUGCUCCGGGGAGCGACCCUUGGAGUACCGGCGCUAACGCAUGAAGUGCCCCGCCUGGGGAGUACGGCCGCAAGGCUGAAACUCAAAGGAAUUGACGGGGGCCCGCACAGGCGGUGGAGCAUGUGGUUUAAUUCGACGCAACGCGCAGAACCUUACCUAGGCUUGACAUGCUGGGGAAACUCCCUGGAAACAGGGGGGCCCUCUUCGGAGCUCCAGCACAGGUGCUGCAUGGCUGUCGUCAGCUCGUGUCGUGAGAUGUUGGGUUAAG
rnacentral:rRNA from 1 species